CUACGAUAGUAGAGGGGCAUUAUGUUUUUUGGUCUGUGCCUCCGUUCGUCCGUGCGUCCGUUUGCUUCAGGUUAAAGUUUUUGGUCAAGGUAGUUUUGAUCUGUGCCUCCGUUCGUUCGUCCGUCCCUCCGUGCAUCCGUUCGCUUCAUGUUAAGUUUUUGGUCAAGGUAGUUUUUGAAGAAGUUGAAGUCCAAUCAACUUGAAACUUAGUAUACAUGUUCCCCAUGAUAUGAUCUUUCUAAUUUUAAUGCCAAAUUAUAGUUUU
rnacentral:lncRNA from 1 species